AACGAACGCUGGCGGCGUGGAUAAGACAUGCAAGUCGAGCGCGAAUUCUGGUGUAGCAAAACAUCAGAGUUUGAGCGGCGCAAGGGUGCGUAACACGUGGGUAAUUUGCCGUGAAGUUGGGGAUAACUCGCUGAAAGGCGAGCUAAUACCGGAUGUGGUUUCGGGGUGGCAUCACUCUGCAACUAAAGCUGGGGAUCGUAAGACCUGGCGCUUCAUGAUAAGCCCGCGGCCUAUCAGCUAGUUGGUGAGGUAACGGCUCACCAAGGCGAAGACGGGUAGCUGGUCUGAGAGGACGACCAGCCACACUGGAACUGAGACACGGUCCAGACACCUACGGGUGGCAGCAGUCGAGAAUUUUUUGC
rnacentral:rRNA from 1 species